rnacentral:RNase_P_RNA from 1 species
CUAGUGGUAAUCUCGCACUUGGAGCACCCGUACGAGUACCUGGUUACUCUUGUUCAUUUGCUUCGGGAAGGUCUGAGAUAAGGCAUGCGAAUAUGCCUCAGCAAGGCAGCUCUUUGAAAAGGGUGUUCGCUACCAGCAAUGCAUCAGUUGUCGAUGACGCGGUGUCCUGUUUGUGACUGGAGAAGAGCUUUCAUUCGUUUGCGAGCUCUUUCUGCACGUUACGGCGGGCACUGAUUGAAAACAGCGGAUUGCCGGCCAUUUGAGUCAAAUAUGCGAGCUACUAUCGCCGAGGGAGCAUAGCUCCCUCCGGAGUAGAACUCAAUUCAGACUAAUCUAUCACUAG